GUGCUCACUUUGACAGCACAUAUACUAAAAUUGGAGCUAUACAGAGAAGAUUAGCAUGGCCCCUACACAAAGAUAACAUGGAAAUUCAUAAAGCAUUCCAUAUUUUU